UUGGAUCUACAUUGAAAUGAUGCUGUUACUUAAGGCUUAGACCUUAGAGCAUGAAAUUCCCUUUUCAUCUGCAUUAUGCUUUGUAUUUUAUUACUUCCUUUCUCAUCACAUAUCCUUAUUACCUUUCCCUUUAUCCUUUUUCUCAUACUUCGCUCCGUGAUUCCCUUUUGAGCUUAAAGUGAUCACUUUAAUCCUAGGCGCUGCUUCAAAACGUACGUAUCCUCUUUUAUAUAUCUUUUGGCACAUCUUAUUUUUUGUGAUAAAAAAGAGGAAUCAUCACUUUGAUUUGACACUUUCUCCGGCCUGCCUGUGCAACUGUAACAAUAAUUAAGCCAUAAGAAAAGUCUUACUACCGAUGCUGAAGGCAAAACCUCAGAGUCCCUGAAAAUAUAACCAGAUACUUUUUUUUUUGGCCAAAGUUAAAGAAGGUGACAGGCCAAUGGGGGUUUGCCUUAGUGAUGAAGGCAAUGGGAUCGAAACUUGUUAGUGGACCAUCUUUAUUUUCCCCCCUGGUGGACACUCCCCCGUAAUAAGGACAAAAGUGGUUUAAAAAAUUGAGUGGCAUAAAUAAAUUAUAUUGACAUCCAAAUCCGAGUGUGCAGAAAUAACAGACUCUCAACAUGCCUGCUGGUUUAAAAUAAAAUAAAAACACAAUGCUCAAAGUGUGUCCAACUCCCAUUUACUACCAAAAAAAAAAAAAAAAAAGUGGCAACAGUUACCAUUUUGUCAUUAAUUUUGGUGACUGUUGUGGGGGUUAAAGUCUUUAGUAACCUCCACAACAGUCACUAAAAUUGGUGACAAAAUGGUGACUGUUGCCACUUUUUUUGUAGUGAUUUAGUAUUUCUUGUCACUGUGGAGGAGGAGUUUAUAACAUUGAUAGACUUCAAUGUACUUUUUAAUGUAAUACACCUGGUGCUUUACAUGCUCAUCAUGUAAAUAUCAACCAAACUGGAAAAGAGGUUAACGGCCCAAUUAACCUAUACAAAAUUGGUAAUGUGUUAUUGAGCUCCUUCCCCUCCCCCUGAUCGCUGUAUCUCCACACAAAAUAUUGUUUUAUUUCGUACCUAGUUACUUUUAGCAUGUGGAGGAGAAAAUUUAUAGUGCAAUUACCUUUUUUCUCUAACUAAGGAUCCAUUGGUGUAGUAGUUUGGAGAAAUGCUCUUCCAAUAAUGAUCCUAGAUUCGAGUCAUAAUAUCGAUAUGCGUGAGUUUAGUAAAGCACUAGAAAAGUAGUUUGUCCUGACAUCACCUGGUAAGAUUUACUUGAAGCACUAGAAAAGUGGUUUGUUGUUUAGUAAGCAAUCAUGUUUAUUAUCAUUACUUUUUUCACUUGUGAUAUUUCUUUAUCUUUCUUCAUCACUUGACUCAGUUUCUUCACUGGUAAGUAACUUUUUGGUGCUUCCAGUUAUAAAUAUUUAAUUUGUAUUUUCUAUUUUUUGGUCUGGAAUUGAUUUGGUGAAAGCUCAAGUUGAGAAAAGAAUAGUUAAAAAGCUGAAUAUUGUAGUUCAUUUUGGUAUUUGAGCUUGUUUUACUAAGCAUCUACAAAAGUAGUUCGUCCAAGCAUACAAUUAAGCAAAGGAAUUGUUUAGUAAGCAAUCAUGUUUGCCAUCAUCACUUUCACUUGCGAUGUUUCUUUAUCUUUCUUCAUCACCUGAUUCAGCCUUCUUCACUGGUAAGUACGUUGGUGUUUCCAGUUUUAAAUAUUUAAUUUGUAUUUUUUUAAUGCAAUUGGUUUGGUGAAUGGGGAGCUAGGAUUGUAUGUGUUGGGGGCCGAACCAUAACACAAGUUUUAAAAAGAAAGUUUUAAUAAAUAAUAGACUAUGAACAAAGUCAUUGAUUUUGAGUAUUGGAGGAUCAAUCGGCUAAUAUGGCUUCAUUUUCUUCUUCUUUUUUUUCGUUAUAUUAAUUGUGGGACUACAAACAUGUAAUAUAUAAUUGUGAAUGAAAUUAUUAUGUAGUGAUUAUAGGGGUUGCAUUCAAUCAUUGCAUUGGGCCACUACAAUGGUUAUACGGUGGUCUGUUAUUCUUCAAAAUAUGAGCUGCAGCUAUAUAAUACAGUGUACCCUCUUUAUUUUCCCACCCUAUUCCACCCCCUACCUCCUUAUUUACUCCAAAAACAAAAACAAAAACAAAAAAACAAAAAAAGAGGGAGGGUGGGGCCAAAAUAUAAUACUAGCCCAUGGACAUAUAUAUAUAUGCGUGUGUCAAUAAUUUUUUUUAAUUUAUUUUGAUUUAUAAAGGAUUUUGUUGGACAUGGGCUCUUAUCAUUUUUCUCAAUUAUGUGUAUUUUUAAUAUAUAGAGUGAAGUGUCGUUUUACUUCUCGAAUUGUGACCCUAAUCAAACUAAUCCUCGGAACUAAAAAGUUAACCAAUUUAACAUUUGAAUUAAUUAAAAUAAUUCGAAAUUUCAUUCAAUUUUCCGUUAGUAAUAAGGGUAAAUUUGUAAUUUUGAGUAAAAUAAUAGUAAAAUACAUAAAAGAAAAAUAAAUAAAAAACCAUUAUUUAUAAUUGUAAAAAUUAAAUGUAUAUUGGUCUGUAUAGCUUCCCGUAAUUCUGGUGGACACUCCAGGACAAAAUUGGUUUAAAAAUUGAGUGGCAUAAAUAAAUUAUAUUGACAUCUAAGUGUGCAGAAAUAACAGACUUUCAACAUGCCUGCUGUUUAAGGAAAAAAAAACACAACACUCAAAGUGUGUCCAACUCCCAUUAGUAUUUCUUGUCACUGUGGAGGAGGAGUUUAUAACAUUGAUAUAGACUUUCUUAAUGUAAUACACCUGGUGCUUCACAUGUUUUCACUAAAGCUCAUCAUGUAAAUAUCAAUCAAACUGGAAAAGAGGUUAUAACCUCCCAAUUAAUCUAUGCAAAAUUGGUAAUGUGUUAUUGAGCUCCUUCCCCUACCCCUGAUCGCUGUAUCUCCAAAAAUAAUAAAAAUGUUGUAUUUUAUACGUAGUUACUUUUAGCACGUGGAGGAGAAAAAUUCUAGUGCAAUUACCUUUUUUCUCUAGCUAAGGAUCCAUUGGUGUAACCGUGUAAGUUUGGAGAAAAGCUCUCCCAAGAAUGACCCUAGAUUCGAGUCAUAACAUCAAUGUGUGUGAGUUUAAUAAAGCACUAGAAAAGUAGUUUGUCC
rnacentral:lncRNA from 1 species